rnacentral:lncRNA from 1 species
AAGGAUUGCUGGGGCUGAAUUUGGGCUGAAUUUAAUAGCAACUUACUAACUGGUAAUUAUUUGUCUGCCUUUAACAGGAACUCGGUAAUGAGAGAGGUUAUCAUCCAGGAGUUACACUGAGUGUGUUCUUAAACCCUGCGAUGGGAAGACACUGUGCUAUGAGCAAAGUGACAGUGGCUUUGAUGUUCCUCCCCAGGAGAGCAGUGAUGCUGUUUGGGACAGCACAAAUACAGAAAACUUAAAGAGCUCCACGUAUCCACACUUGUACCUCUACGGUUUUACAUGCGCUCUUGGCCGUCGCCCGGUGUUGGAUGCAACUGGAUACUUCACGUCUAAGGAGAUGGAGAAAUAAAUUGCAUUGCUCUCCCUGCAAGUCUGAUCAAGCUCCGAAAGGUGAGGCAAAGAUGACAGCUUAAAACGUGGAAACUACGGAAAAUGCUGUCCUGAGCACACCAAGGGAAAGCAAGGCCUUGGGAAGGUUGAAAGACUUUUUGUAGGACUUUAUUAAGG